GACAGAGGGUGCAAACGUUGUUCGGAAUUACUGGGCGUAAAGCGCGUGUAGGCGGCCCUGCAAGUCGGAUGUGAAAUCCCACGGCUCAACCGUGGAAGUGCAUUCGAAACUGCAGGGCUAGAGUCCUGGAGAGGAAGGUGGAAUGCUUGGUGUAGAGGUGAAAUUCGUAGAUAUCAAGCGGAACACCGGUGGCGAAGGCGGCCUUCUGGACAGUGACUGACGCUGAGACGCGAAAAGCGUG
rnacentral:rRNA from 1 species